rnacentral:lncRNA from 1 species
GUUUUCCAAAGACUAAAGGAAUGUCUCAUACAGAGAAGAACUCCAUGCCUUUGAUCAAAUUUGUAAAAAACUUGUCAUGCCUGAUGUUAAGCAGCCACACAUAAAAACACGGCAUAAUGAGGAAUUCUCCAUUUGCCCUGCACAAACCAUGACCUGAUUCUUCACCUAACAGCUAAGCAGUAUUCAUUUUACCAGACUGGAGAAGAUGAGAGGAAGGAGCUUUCUUUUUAGAGAAACGGACAUGAGAGAUGGGUUCCCAGGGCUCCAUUUCAACUCACAGCAUCACAGGGGAGAUUUUCUUCCCCAAGACAGAUACAGUUGGAAAU